rnacentral:rRNA from 1 species
UACGUAGGGCGCAAGCGUUGUCCGGAAUUAUUGGGCGUAAAGAGCUCGUAGGCGGUUUGUCGCGUCUGCUGUGAAAGCCCGGGGCUUAACCCCGGGUCUGCAGUGGGUACGGGCAGACUGGAGUGCAGUAGGGGAGACUGGAAUUCCUGGUGUAGCGGUGAAAUGCGCAGAUAUCAGGAGGAACACCGGUGGCGAAGGCGGGUCUCUGGGCAACAACUGACGCUGAGGAGCGAAAGCGUGGGGAGCGAACAGG